rnacentral:rRNA from 1 species
AGAACGAACGCUGGCGGCAGGCCUCAAACAUGCAAGUCUAGGGGGCGUAGCAAUACGUCACCGGCGGACGGGUGCGUAACACGUGGGAAUGUACUUACUGGUUCGGAACAACUCAGGGAAACUUGAGCUAAUACCGAAUGUGCCCGAAAGGGGAAAGAUUUAUCGCCAGUAAAUCAGCCCGCGUCCGAUUAGCUAGUUGGCGGGGUAAAGGCCCACCAAGGCGACGAUCGGUAGCUGUUCUGAGAGGAAGAUCAGCCACACUGGGACUGAGACACGGCCCAGACUCCUACGGGAGGCAGCAGUUGGGAAUCUUGGACAAUGGGGGAAACCCUGAUCCAGCCAUGCCGCGUGAGUGAUGAAGACCUUCGGGUUGUAAAGCUCUGUCGGAGGGGAAGAACACAAUGACGGUACCCUCCAAGAAAGCCCCGGCUAACUACGCGCCAGCAGCCGC